rnacentral:lncRNA from 1 species
GGGAAAUUCCUUUACCUCCCCUUCUGUCGGAGCAGCCACUUGUCACUUCUGGAGCUGUUGCUGGUCCCUGAGAUGGCCCACAGAGCUCCCUCCAGGCAGAGUGGAGGACCUCGCUGUUCCUGGUGAUGCAACAGGGAAAUGUCAAACCCCGGGAUUGGAAGGAAACUCACUGCUGUUGUGAAGAAACUUGGUGAAACUCCAGCAACUUCGACCACUGGCCCGCUGCUGAGUCCUGGGACUUAAGGUCAAAUUCUAGAAAAGAACCGUGUGGGAUGUACAACCUGGCCUGGUCUCUCGGGUUCUCGGCUGCUGCUGGCAACAUUCUCUGGCAAAGGCUGCACUACUUGCUGUGACGUUUAUGACGGAAAGUUGCCAGAGAGCAAUCCAGUUAGCCACAGCCCCACUCCUCUCAGGUACAGCUCGGGAACUAAACCCCUGAACUAUGUGGGUCUAGACCAAGAAGACACCAGCAGGAGAGGCCUACAAUGAACCCUGACUGAGCGGGAUACAUCGGGGACACAGGGCCUCCCUUCCAGGUACCUGCAUUAGCGGCGAGGGGCAAUCAUCUGGAGUCUUGGCAAACUGAUCCAACCUGAAACGAACGCCUGUCGGGAGUCUCAGGUCCACCCCAGCUCAGAGGCGGCAGCAGGGAAGCCAGGACCCCGCCUCCAGUUCCCACCGAGCCGACCCACCCGGAGCGCUCCCGCAGGCGCCCAGAGGCCUGGCGGC